rnacentral:rRNA from 1 species
GGUUGAUCCUGCCAGUAGUCAUAUGCUUGUUUCAAAGAUUAAGCCAUGCAAGUGUAAGUAUAAGCUAAUUUAUACAGCAAAACUGCGAAAAGCUCAUUACAACAGUUAUAAUCUACACGAUGUUCAACACUAUAUGGAUAUCCAUGGUAAUUCUGGAGCUAAUACAUGCAUUAACACCUGACUUUUGGAAGGGUGGUUUUCAUCAGCUACACAGACCUAACCACGCUCGCGUGAUUGUGAUGAUCAUGAUGAUUCAGCGGAUCGCAUAUUGCGACAGAUCGCUCGAGUUU